rnacentral:rRNA from 1 species
UACAGAGGGGGCAAGCGUUAUUCGGAAUUACUGGGCGUAAAGGGCGCGUAGGCGGAAUGGCAAGUCGGUCGUGAAAUCCUUCGGCUCAACCGAAGAACGUCGAUCGAAACUGCCGUUCUUGAGGAUUGCAGAGGAGACUGGAAUUCCCGGUGUAGCGGUGAAAUGUGUAGAGAUCGGGAGGAACACCGGUGGCGAAGGCGGGUCUCUGGGCAAUUCCUGACGCUGAGGCGCGAAAGCGUGGGGAGCAAACGGG